GACGUAGGGCGCGAGCGUUGUCCGGAUUUAUUGGGCGUAAAGAGCUCGUAGGCGGCUUGUCGCGUCGAAUGUGAAAUCCCAGGGCUCAACUCUGACAUUGCAUUCGAUACGGGCAGGCUAGAGUUCGGUAGGGGAGACUGGAAUUCCUGGUGUAGCGGUGAAAUGCGCAGAUAUCAGGAGGAACACCGGUGGCGAAGGCGGGUCUCUGGGCCGAUACUGACGCUGAGGAGCGAAAGCGUGGGGAGCGAACAGG
rnacentral:rRNA from 1 species